UACGUAGGGGGCAAGCGUUUGUCCGGAUUUAUUGGGCGUAAAGAGCGUGUAGGCGGCCAGGUAGGUCUGCUGUGAAAACUCGAGGCUUAACCUCGAGCUGUCGGCGGAAACCAUCUGGCUAGAGUCCGGAAGAGGAGAAUGGAAUUCCCGGUGUAGCGGUGAAAUGCGCAGAUAUCGGGAAGAACACCCGUGGCGAAGGCGGUUCUCUGGGACGGGUACUGACGCUGAGACGCGAAAGCGUGGGGAGCGAACAGG
rnacentral:rRNA from 1 species